rnacentral:rRNA from 1 species
GGCUCAUUAAAUCACACCUAAUCUACUGGAUAGUAAACAGUUACUUGGAUAACUGCGGUAAUUCUGGAGCUAAUACAUGCAUAAAUCCCCAACUCACGAAGGGGCGCUUUUAUUAGAUCAAAACCAAACGGCUUCGGCUGUACUCUUGGUGAUUCUGAAUAACUUUGGGCUGAUCGCAUAGCCUUGCGCUGGCGACAUAUCCUUCGAAGGUGUGCCCUAUCAACUGUCGACUGUGGCAUAGACGCCCACAGUGGUUUUGACGGGUAACGGGGAAUCAGGGUUCGAUUCCGGAGAGGGAGCCUUAAAAACGGCUACCACAUCUAAGGAAGGCAGCAGGCACGCAAAUUACCCAAUGACCGAAGGUCGAGGUAGUGACGAAAAAUAACGAUAGCGGUCUCAUCCGAGGUACGCUAAUUGGAAUGAGUACACUUUAAAACCGUCCCCGAGGAUCUAUUGGAGGGCAAGUCUGGUGCCAGCAGCCGCGGUAAUUCCAGCUCCAAUAGCGUAUAUUAAAGUUGUUGUGGUUAAAAAGCUCGUAGUUGGAUCUCAACGAUCUUGAAGCGGUCACUAAGUGUUGUACUGCUUUAUAGGUCGUAGUUUUGCUGGAGGUUUAGAGGUGCUCUUGAUCGAGUGUCUCUAGAUGCCAGCAGGUUUACUUUGAAAAAAUUAGAGUGCUCAAAGCAGGCUAUUCCGCCUGAAUAUUCGUGCAUGGAAUAAUAGAAUAGGAUGUCGAUCCUAUUUUGUUGGUUUUCGGGACUCGACAUAAUGAUUAAUAGGGACAGUCGGGGGCAUUUGUAUUCAAACGACAGAGGUGAAAUUCUUGGACCGUUUGAAGACAAACUACUGCGAAAGCAUUUGCCAAGAAUGUUUUCAUUAAUCAAGAACGAAAGUUAGAGGUUCGAAGGCGAUUAGAUACCGCCCUAGUUCUAACCAUAAACGAUGCCAGCUAGCGAUCUGCCGGUGUUUUUACUGUAGACUCGGCAGGAAGCUUCCGGGAAACCAAAGCAUUUGGGUUCCAGGGGAAGUAUGGUUGCAAAGCUGAAACUUAAAGGAAUUGACGGAAGGGCACCACCAGGAGUGGAGCCUGUGGCUUAAUUUGACUCAACACGGGAAAACUCACCAGGCCCGGACACUGGAAGGAUUGACAGAUUGAUAGCUCUUUCUUGAUUCGGUGGGUGGUGGUGCAUGGCCGUUCUUAGUUGGUGGAGUGAUUUGUCUGGUUAAUUCCGAUAACGAACGAGACUCUGUCCUGCUAAAUAGUGUUUACUUCUCUUUUGAGUAAACAUUUCUUCUUAGAGGGACUGGCAACUCUUAGUUGCACGAGAUUGAGCAAUAACAGGUCUGUGAUGCCCUUAGAUGUUCUGGGCCGCACACGCGCUACACUGAAUAGAUCAGCGUGUCACCCUUCCCGAAAGGGACGGGUAAACCGCUGAACCCUAUUCGUGGUAGGGAUCGGGGCUUGCAAUUAUUCCCCGUGAACCAGGAAUUCCCAGUAGGCGCAAGUCAUCAGCUUGCGUCGAUUACGUCCCUGCCCUUUGUACACACCGCCCGUCGCUACUACCGAUUGAACGUUUU